UACGGGGGGAGCAAGCGUUGUUCGGAUUUACUGGGCGUAAAGGGCGCGUAGGCGGUCGUGACAAGUCACUUGUGAAAUCUCCGGGCUUAACUCGGAACGGUCAAGUGAUACUGUCGGACUAGAGUACAGAAGGGGCAACUGGAAUUCUCGGUGUAGCGGUGAAAUGCGUAGAUAUCGAGAGGAACACCUGCGGCGAAGGCGGGUUGCUGGGCUGAUACUGACGCUGGAGGCGCGAAAGCUAGGGGAGCAAACGGG
rnacentral:rRNA from 1 species